CAUAGGUUAAUGAGGCGAACCGGGGGAACUGAAACAUCUAAGUACCCCGAGGAAAAGAAAUCAACCGAGAUUCCCCCAGUAGCGGCGAGCGAACGGGGAGGAGCCCAGAGCCUGAAUCAGUGUGUGUGUUAGUGGAAGCGUCUGGAAAGGCGCGCGAUACAGGGUGACAGCCCCGUACACAAAAAUGCACAUACUGUGAGCUCGAUGAGUAGGGCGGGACACGUGGUAUCCUGUCUGAAUAUGGGGGGACCAUCCUCCAAGGCUAAAUACUCCUGACUGACCGAUAGUGAACCAGUACCGUGAGGGAAAGGCGAAAAGAACCCCGGCGAGGGGAGUGAAAAAGAACCUGAAACCGUGUACGUACAAGCAGUGGGAGCCUCUUAAUGGGGUGACUGCGUACCUUUUGUAUAAUGGGUCAGCGACUUAUAUUCUGUAGCAAGGUUAACCGAAUAGGGGAGCCGAAGGGAAACCGAGUCUUAACUGGGCGUUAAGUUGCAGGGUAUAGACCCGAAACCCGGUGAUCUAGCCAUGGGCAGGUUGAAGGUUGGGUAACACUAACUGGAGGACCGAACCGACUAAUGUUGAAAAAUUAGCGGAUGACUUGUGGCUGGGGGUGAAAGGCCAAUCAAACCGGGAGAUAGCUGGUUCUCCCCGAAAGCUAUUUAGGUAGCGCCUCGUGAAUUCAUCUCCGGGGGUAGAGCACUGUUUCGGCAAGGGGGUCAUCCCGACUUACCAACCCGAUGCAAACUGCGAAUACCGGAGAAUGUUAUCACGGGAGACACACGGCGGGUGCUAACGUCCGUCGUGAAGAGGGAAACAACCCAGACCGCCAGCUAAGGUCCCAAAGUCAUGGUUAAGUGGGAAACGAUGUGGGAAGGCCCAGACAGCCAGGAUGUUGGCUUAGAAGCAGCCAUCAUUUAAAGAAAGCGUAAUAGCUCACUGGUCGAGUCGGCCUGCGCGGAAGAUGUAACGGGGCUAAACCAUGCACCGAAGCUGCGGCAGCGACGCUGAUGCGUUGUUGGGUAGGGGAGCGUUCUGUAAGCCUGUGAAGGUGGCCUGUGAGGGUUGCUGGAGGUAUCAGAAGUGCGAAUGCUGACAUAAGUAACGAUAAAGCGGGUGAAAAGCCCGCUCGCCGGAAGACCAAGGGUUCCUGUCCAACGUUAAUCGGGGCAGGGUGAGUCGACCCCUAAGGCGAGGCCGAAAGGCGUAGUCGAUGGGAAACAGGUUAAUAUUCCUGUACUUGGUGUUACUGCGAAGGGGGGACGGAGAAGGCUAUGUUGGCCGGGCGACGGUUGUCCCGGUUUAAGCGUGUAGGCUGGUUUUCCAGGCAAAUCCGGAAAAUCAAGGCUGAGGCGUGAUGACGAGGCACUACGGUGCUGAAGCGACAAAUGCCCUGCUUCCAGGAAAAG
rnacentral:rRNA from 1 species